AUUGAACGCUGGCGGCAGGCCUAACACAUGCAAGUCGAACGAGUGGCGGACGUGUGAGUCAUGUCUGGGAAACUGCCUGAUGGAGGGGGAUAACUACUGGCAACGGUAGCUAAUACCGCAUACCAUCGGAUGUGCCCAGAUGGGAUUAGCUAGUAGGUGGGGUAAAGGCUCACCUAGGAGACGAUCCCUAGCUGGUCUGAGAGGAUGACCAGCCACACUGGAACUGAGACACGGUGCAGACUCCUACGGGAGGCAGCAGAGGGGAAUAUUGCACAAUGGGCGCCAGCCUGUUGCAGCCACGCCGCGUGUAUGAAGAAGGCCUUCGGGUUGUAAAGUACUUUCAGCGGGGAGGCGUUACCCGCAGAAGAAGCACCGGCUAACUCCGUGCCAGCAGCCGCGGUAAUUC
rnacentral:rRNA from 1 species